rnacentral:rRNA from 1 species
AUACGUAGGUGGCGAGCGUUAUCCGGAAUUACUGGGUGUAAAGGGUGUGUAGGCGGGAAGGCAAGUCGGAUGUGAAAAUUAUGGGCUCAACCCAUAAAGUGUGACCGAAACUGUUUUUCUUGAGGAUCGGAGAGGUAAUGAGAAUUCCCGGUGUAGCGGUGAAAUGCGCAGAGAUCGGGAGGAAUACCGGUGGCGAAGGCGAAUUACUUGACGAUAACAGACGCUGAGACACGAAAGCGUGGGGAGCAAACAGUAUUAGAUACCCUGGUAGUCCACGCCCUAAACGAUGAAUGCUAGGUGUAGGGGAGUCAUCUUCUGUGCCGCAGCUAACGCAAUAAGCAUUCCACCUGGGGAGUACGGCCGCAAGGUUUAAACUCAAAUGAAUUGACGGGG